UGAUGACGCCUGAUCAGAGGUGGAGGCUGGUGGCAUUUGAUAAAUCUAACGAAGAUGGUGCUGACGAAAGACUUUAGGCAAUUUCUCGCCUACGAUCUAGAAACAUGUUCACCAUUAACGAUGACUCUUGCAGGGU